GGGUUGUGAGGUUAAGCGACUAAGCGUACACGGUGGAUGCCCUGGCAGUCAGAGGCGAUGAAGGACGUGCUAAUCUGCGAAAAGCGUCGGUAAGGUGAUAUGAACCGUUAUAACCGGCGAUGUCCGAAUGGGGAAACCCAGUGUGAUUCGUCACACUAUCGUUAACUGAAUACAUAGGUUAACGAGGCGAACCGGGGGAACUGAAACAUCUAAGUACCCCGAGGAAAAGAAAUCAACCGAGAUUCCCCCAGUAGCGGCGAGCGAACGGGGAGCAGCCCAGAGUCUGAAUCAGCUUGUGUGUUAGUGGAACGGUCUGGAAAGUCCGACGGUACAGGGUGAUAGUCCCGUACACCAAAAUGCACAGGUUGUGAACUCGAAGAGUAGGGCGGGACACGUGGUAUCCUGUCUGAAUAUGGGGGGACCAUCCUCCAAGGCUAAAUACUCCUGACUGACCGAUAGUGAACCAGUACCGUGAGGGAAAGGCGAAAAGAACCCCGGCGAGGGGAGUGAAAAAGAACCUGAAACCGUGUACGUACAAGCAGUGGGAGCACCUUCGGGUGUGACUGCGUACCUUUUGUAUAAUGGGUCAGCGACUUAUAUUCUGUAGCAAGGUUAACCGUAUAGGGGAGCCGCAGGGAAACCGAGUCUUAACUGGGCGUUAAGUUGCAGGGUAUAGACCCGAAACCCGGUGAUCUAGCCAUGGGCAGGUUGAAGGUUGGGUAACACUAACUGGAGGACCGAACCGACUAAUGUUGAAAAAUUAGCGGAUGACUUGUGGCUGGGGGUGAAAGGCCAAUCAAACCGGGAGAUAGCUGGUUCUCCCCGAAAGCUAUUUAGGUAGCGCCUCGUGAACUCAUCUUCGGGGGUAGAGCACUGUUUCGGCUAGGGGGUCAUCCCGACUUACCAACCCGAUGCAAACUACGAAUACCGAAGAAUGUUAUCACGGGAGACACACGGCGGGUGCUAACGUCCGUCGUGAAGAGGGAAACAACCCAGACCGCCAGCUAAGGUCCCAAAGUCAUGGUUAAGUGGGAAACGAUGUGGGAAGGCACAGACAGCCAGGAUGUUGGCUUAGAAGCAGCCAUCAUUUAAAGAAAGCGUAAUAGCUCACUGGUCGAGUCGGCCUGCGCGGAAGAUGUAACGGGGCUAAACCAUGCACCGAAGCUGCGGCAGCGACACUAUGUGUUGUUGGGUAGGGGAGCGUUCUGUAAGCCUGCGAAGGUGACCUGUGAGGGUUGCUGGAGGUAUCAGAAGUGCGAAUGCUGACAUAAGUAACGAUAAAGCGGGUGAAAAGCCCGCUCGCCGGAAGACCAAGGGUUCCUGUCCAACGUUAAUCGGGGCAGGGUGAGUCGACCCCUAAGGCGAGGCCGAAAGGCGUAGUCGAUGGGAAACAGGUUAAUAUUCCUGUACUUGGUGUUACUGCGAAGGGGGGACGGAGAAGGCUAUGUUAGCCGGGCGACGGUUGUCCCGGUUUAAGCAUGUAGGCUGGUU
rnacentral:rRNA from 1 species